GACGAACGCUGGCGGCGUGCCUAAUACAUGCAAGUCGUACGAGGACGUACUUUUGAAGCCUUCGGGCGGAUAAGGUACGGCCCUAGUGGCGGACGGGUGAGUAACGCGUGGGCAACCUGCCCUUUAGACCGGGAUAACUUUCGGAAACGAGAGCUAAUCCCGGAUGCAGAGCGAGAAUCGCAUGAUUCUUUCUCGAAAGCUUCGGCGCUAAAGGAUGGGCCCGCGUCCCAUUAGCUAGUUGGUAGGGUAACGGCCUACCAAGGCGACGAUGGGUAGCCGGCCUGAGAGGGUGAACGGCCACACUGGGACUGAGACACGGCCCAGACUCCUACGGGAGGCAGCAGUAGGGAAUCUUGCGCAAUGGACGAAAGUCUGACGCAGCGACGCCGCGUGAGGGACGAAGGCCUUCGGGUCGUAAACCUCUGUCCUUGGGGACGAUAAUGACGGUACCCAAGGAGGAAGCCCCGGCUAACUACGUGCCAGCAGCCGCGGUAAUACGUAGGGGGCGAGCGUUGUCCGGAAUUAUUGGGCGUAAAGGGUGCGUAGGCGGUUUGGUAAGUCUUGUGUGAAAGGCCUCGGCUUAACCGGGGUAUGCCACAGGAAACUACUGAGCUUGAGUGUCGGAGAGGGUAGCGGAAUUCCAGGUGUAGCGGUGAAAUGCGUAGAUAUCUGGAGGAACACCCGUGGCGAAGGCGGCUACCUGGACGACUACUGACGCUAAGGCACGACAGCUGGGGGAGCGAACAGG
rnacentral:rRNA from 1 species